UACGGGGGGAGCAAGCGUUGUUCGGAUUUACUGGGCGUAAAGGGCGCGUAGGCGGUCGUGACAAGUCACUUGUGAAAUCUCAGAGCUCAACUCUGAAACUGCACUCGAUACUGCUCUGCUUGAGGACUGGAGAGGAGACUGGAAUUCACGGUGUAGCAGUGAAAUGCGUAGAUAUCGUGAGGAAGACCAGUGGCGAAGGCGGGUCUCUGGACAGUUCCUGACGCUGAGGCGCGAAGGCCAGGGGAGCAAACGGG
rnacentral:rRNA from 1 species